rnacentral:tRNA from 1 species
GCCAGUCUGGCUCAGUGGUUAGAGCGUCUACCUGUGAACCAGGAGGUCACGGGUUCGAUUCCUGGU